GGGUCGUUAGCUCAGUUGGUAGAGCAGUUGGCUUUUAACCAAUUGGUCGUAGGUUCGAAUCCUACACGACCCACCA
rnacentral:tRNA from 687 species